rnacentral:piRNA from 1 species
UUCUAGUGUUCUCACUUGCCAUGAAAGU